rnacentral:lncRNA from 1 species
AUCCUCCUCUUAUUGGUGGUUUUUUUAUAUAAAUGUUUCCAAGGCAGGAAAGGUAAAGAGACAAAGAAAGUGCCUUGUACAGAUGCAAACGGAGGUGUAGACUGUGCAGCUGCCAAAGUGGUGACAAGCAAUCCAGAGGACCAUGAAAGGAUCUUAAUGCAAGUCAUGAACUUGAAUGUGCCGAUGAGGCCUGGCAUUCUUGUCCAGAGACAGAGUAAGGAAGUGUUGGCCACACCCUUAGAAAACAGAAGGGACAUGGAG